AUGGUAGUGUCUUCCAGAAAUACUCUCACAGGCACACCCAGGACAAAUGUUCUACCAGCUAUCUGGGCGUUGCUUAGGCCAGUCAAGUUGACACAUAAAAUUAACCAACGAAGUAAUUCUAACAAAGAUUUAUAACCAGAUUACACUCUUCUGAAGCUAAAGAACUGCUAAUGGAGAUAGCAGUCAUCAGUUACUGUGAUAGUUAAUGUUGAGUGUCAACUUGAUUGGAUUGAAAAAUGUGAAGUAUUGUUUCUGGGUGUGUCAGUGAGGGUGCUGCCAAAAGAGAUUAACAUUUGAGUUAGUGGACUAAGAAAGGCAGACCCACUCUCAAUCUGGGUGGGCACCAUCUAAUCGGCUGCCAACAUGGCUAGGAUAAAAGCAGGCAGAGGAAUGUGGAAGGACUAAACUGGCAGAAUCUUCUGGCCUCCAUCUUUCCCCUGUGCUGGAUGCUUCCUGCCCUCAAACAUCGGACUCCCAAGUUCUUCAGCUUUUGGACUCUUGGACUUACAUCACUGAUUUGCCAGGGGCUCUGAGGCCUUUGGCCACAGGCUGAAGGCUGCACUAUCAGCUUCCCUACUUUUAAAGUUUUGGGACUUGGAAUUGCUUCCUGGCUCCUCAGCUUGCAGACAGCCUAUUGUGGGACUUCACCUUAUGAUCAUGUCUCAGCAGGACAGCUUAUCUCUGCUCCAUGUGGCCUAACUGGGGUUGGAUGACCCACCUCCAAGAUGGCUUACUUUCAUGAAUGGUGACCUCACACUGGGAGCCUGAAACCAGCCAUGGUGAGAGUAUUGAUGGACAGAAAUCAGCAAAUGCUACAAAUCAGGACUCUACUCCUCCCCAGAGCUGGCCUUCAAUGGAUUGCACGAAGCCCAACCAUACUGGGGAAGGCAAUCUACUUCACUCAGUCUACACAAUAACUCCCUUCUUUUUCUGCUGAUUCAGAGGAAGCUAACUCUACAGCAGAAGCAGUGAGUCACAAGGACAAGAACCAAAUGAUAUGGACGACCCCAUCACAACAACUCAAGCUGGUGUAAACAUUCUCACAUGGCAUGAGAAUGAAACAUAAUGCAGUGCUCCCUCUCCCCAGACCUGGGUCACAUUCCUCUAUGGAUUAAAUGCAAUAGCAGUUAGGUUUUAAUUGCAUUCCUUUGAGCAAUGUCAUUUAUUUUACCUGUUGUUUACCAUUAAAUUUAUGUCCUGGAAGAUGUUGAUAAAACUACAAGAAGGAAAGUAUCCUUUUGCUAUGGUUUGAAUAGCAAACCAAAAUUUGUGUUGAAAUUUUAUCCCAAAUGUGGCAGAGAAUUAGUCCAUUCUCAUGCUGCUAAUAAGGACAUACCCAAGACUCGGUAAUUGAUAAAGGAAAGAUGUUUAAUUGACUCACAGUUCAGCAUGGUUGGGGAGGCCUCAGAAAACUUACAAUCAUGGUGGAAGGGGAACCAAACACGUCCUCCUUCACAUGGUGGCAAGAGAGACAAGUGCAGAGAAAAGGAGGGGAAAGCCCCUUAUAAAAUCAUCAACUCUCAUGAGAACUCACUCACUAUCAUCAGAACAGCAUGGAGGUAACCGCCCCCAUGAUUCAAUUACCUCCCACUAAGUCCUUCCCAUGACCCAUGGGGAUUAUAGGAUACCUGAGAACUUUGACAUGUUUCUGACAUGCCCUGAAAACAGCUGCCACAUUGCCUCAGUGAUUAACAUUCGGCUCCUCAUCACAUAUGCAAAUUUCAGCAGCCGGCUUGAAUUUCUCCCAAGAAAAUGGGUUUUUCUUUUCUGUCACAUAAUCAGGCUGCAAAUUUUCCAAACUUUUAUGCUCUGCUUCCUCUUGAACACCUUGCCACUUAGAAAUUGCUUCUGUCAGAUUCCCUAAAUCAUCUCUCUCAAGUUUAAAGUUUCACAGAUCUCUAGGGCAGGGGCAAAAUGCCGCCAGUCUCUUUGCAUAGCAAGAGUGACAUUUACUCCAGUUUCCAACAAGUUCCUCAUCUCCAUCUGAGACCACCUCAGCCUGGACUUUAUUGCCCAUAUCACUAUCAGCAUUUUAGUCAAAGCCAUUCGACAAGUCUCUAGGAAGUUCCAAACUUUCCCACUUCUUCCUGCCUUCUUAGCCCUCCAAGUCUCUAAGAGUUUCCAAACUUUCCCACAUUUUCCUGUCUUCUGAGCCCUCCAAAUGGUUUCAACCUCUGCCUGUUACCCAGUUCCAAAGUUACUUCCACAUUUUCAGGUACCUUUACAGCAGCGCCCCACUCUCUGUGGUACCAAUUUACUGUAUUAGUCCCUUCUCCCACCUCUAUAAGGACAUAUCUGAGACUGGGUAAUUUAUAAAGGAAGGAGGUUUAAUUGACUCACAGUUCCACAGGGCGGGGGAGGCCUCAAGAAACUUACAAUCAUGGUGGAAGGGGAAGCAAACACGUCCUUCUUCACAUGGCAGCAGGAGAUGUGCAGAGAGAAGUGGGGGAAAGCCCCUUCUAAAACCAUCAGAUCUCAUGAGAUCUCAUCAGAUCUCAUAAGAACUCACUCAAUAUCAUAAGAACAUGAUAUGGAGGUAACCGCUGCCAUGAUUCAAUUACCUCCCAUGGGGUUUUUUCCAUGACAUGCAGGGAUUAUGGGAGCUACAAUUCAGUAUGAGAUUUAGGUGCGGACACAGCCAAAACCAUAUCAGGCAGUAUUGAGAAGUGAAGCAUUUAAGAGGUGAUUGGGUCAUGAGGGCUCUGCCCUCAUGAAUGACUUAGUCUAUUCACAGAUUAAUGAAAUAGUGAGUUAUCAUUGGAAGGGAACUGUGGCUAUAUAGGAAAAGGAAGAAAAACCUAAGCUAGCAUGUUAGCGCACUCAGCCCCCUUGCCACGUGAUGCUCUGCACUGCCUCAGGACUCUGCAGCAUCCCCAUUAGCAAGAAAAUGUGGCAUAUAUACACCACGG
rnacentral:lncRNA from 1 species